UGUGGGAAAAGCACUUACCCCUUGCCUUUUGGAUGGUAACAUAGUUUAGUGCUUUUUAGAAUCAAUUUGAUUAUGUUGCGGGUGAAAAACAGAUCUCUACUGGGAAAGAUUGUUUGGCCAAGGAAAAUCAGAUGUCGGACACUGACCUAUUCAACAAACAAGAAACAGGACUUCUUCAGCUAAGUUCACAUAUGUUGGGAGGGGGAAGUCAAGUUAAAUACUGGUUUAUAGGCCUUGGAGCAAUCAUCUACAAAGGAUGUGAAGUUGUAACAAGCUGGACAUUCCUUGUUCAAUAGCUCAUCACUGUUAAUUCUUGAUGCUGCCUGCUCUUUAUACUUUUCCAUACACUAAUCUGCAGAUAGCUAAAGCUAUCCUUUUUAUUUGUGGUGGAGCUUUUGUUGGUAGAGAAGACAAUUUCAGAAAGGUUAUCUGUCAAACUCAAUUAAUUUCAUUAAACACAUUUAAGUUAAGUGAUAUAAUAUGGUUCAACUUAUCAUUCUUUUACUCCCAGACGACAAGAUUCUUCAACUGGAUUCGGAGUACCUGUUCUAACUAACAUAAGAGUUAGUGGUCUAACUGAUGCUGUAGUUACAUCAUCACUAUUGGAAUCUGUGAGGAGAUGCUAAAGCUAUCCUUUUUAUUUGUGGUGGAGCUUUUGUUGGUAGAGAAGACAAUUUCAGAAAGGUUAUCUGUCAAACUCAAUUAAUUUCAUUAAACACAUUUAGGUUAAGUGAUAUAAUAUGGUUCAACUUAUCAUUCUCUUACUCCCAGAUGACAAGAUUCUUCAACUGGAUUCGGAGUACCUGUUCUAACUAACAUAAGAGUUGGUGGCCUAACUGAUGCUGUAGUUACAUCAUCACUAUUGGAAUCUGUGAGGAGAUCCCUGUGACUUGAGUGUAGUUUUCUUUUUCGGAUCACUAUUUUGUAAAUCUAAUGAUUUCAUGACUCUUUAUUCUCGUGAAAUUCUAAAAACCAAAUGCAUCGGAAGCAUUCAUGUCACAUUGCUUUCUGUAUCUAGGUAGAAAGUGACGAUCUCACUGCGGAUGGACUCAUAUUUGUGGUGCGAUUUCCAGUAUUAGUGAGUUUAUCUUCCCUGGAUGAGGAUUAGCUUGUUCAGGUUUGUCUACUCUUUUCACCUUUUGGC
rnacentral:lncRNA from 1 species